UGACUUCUUUCUCUGAAACCCUUGUUGACUUUUUGUGAUUAUGGCAUUGCUUUCUAGAUGUUCACAGACUCUCUGCUUACUGAUCUGCUCUAGAAUAUUUCCUAGUAUGCCAUUUUAUGGCAUCUUGGGAUUUCUGAUUGCAUGAAAUACUUAGCAUUGUCUGUCAGAGUGUUCUGGUACUGUUGUUCAGAGAAUUCCAAGUCUCUCAUGAUACCAUAAAUACCAGGACUCCAUAUGAUGGAGCCAUGACAAUGUGGUAACAAACUCCUAUAAUUGUGCAGUGUACAUAUAUCUAUAAACUUUAUGAAGCAGGGCAGAAAUAAUACAACUCUAACAGAGCAGAACUAUUCGGAAUGAUUAACUCUAGCUCUUACCUUAUUUACCAUUUUGCUGGGUACCAGACACAGGCUCGAUGCACACUGAAGAGUAUGCCUCUUAAAUUGGUUGUCUUUUGAAGCUAAACUUGCAGCUGCUCAUGGGGAAGAAAGCAAACUGCGAGAGUCAGUGAGAAGUAAAAGAUCCAGAGUUGAUUUGGAAUUAUUGUUUUUUUGAGAAUAUGCCUCAUUUUACCGGAAAGUAAGAGUGUGUGUGUGUGUGUGUGUGUGAGAGAGAGAGAGAGAGAGAGAGAGAGGAAACCAAUUACAAAUUUUGUUGGUGAGGUGUGAACUGAUUCCACAUUUCCAGGAUUAAGGGUAACUGUGCUAGUAACCAGUUACGUCCUGUGUUUUCAAGGAGGAUUUAAUUCAGUUUAAUUCAAUAUGAAAGUGCAUUGCCCCCAAACACACAUUAGGUUUAUUAGGUUCAGAUUGUGGGAUUCUAAAAACAAAAUGAACAGUGACAAUAAUCUAUCAGUGAUUUCUCUGUGUAUAAAGUUCAUGCCAGUUGCCUCAUAUCCCCUUACUAAAAAGGUAUACAAAUAGUGGCUACUUCAUGGAGCUUCUCAACAUGUACAGUCUUCCACUUGUUAUCACGCAACUGUAACCACUUUGCCAUCUGUUGAGAUGCCAUCAGUGAAAUGUGCACAGUACAGUAUGUGGCUUUCUCCUCUGGGGUUCAGGAACUGACAUACAUUUGACCAACUUGCACUUUAUGAAUGCCAUACUCGCAAGAAUGAAGUAAGUUAAUAUUUAGAUCCCUAAAUGUAUUGAUCGGUAGCUCCCCUUUGUUUGCAGUGCAUACUCUCCAACAUGUUACAGAUGAAAAUUGGGACAUGUGUUAUUAAGAAAUAUCACAAUGUAGUCAAGGUGACAACAGCUAUUAAUGAAGAACACACAAGCUAGGAAAGGCUGCAGCAGUUUCCUUUUGCCUGAGUCUAUUGGAAAGGCAAGAUUCCACCCGCUCUUCUCUUCUCUCUCUGCUGAGUUCAUUGUGUGCAAAGUACUUUUGAAUUUUUUUGAACUCAAUUUGCAACAACUGAAAGAAGCUGGGGGCAAAGGAGGAAGCAACGAACCAAACCUAAAUACAGAAGGCUUGUCUGAAUUAAAAAUUAUUUGCCUGCUGAUGGAAGGUCAACAAAAGUCUGCAUUUCAAUGGCUUUGGGGUUUGGCUGGGCAUGGAACAGGUCCAUCCUAGAGCUGGAUAUGAGGAUCCUCAAGUUCCACGCUUCCUCCUUUAGGUAAUAUGACCAGCUACAGCUUUUGUGUUUUUCUUCCUUCUUUCUAUUUGCGGAUAAUGUUGUGGUUGGUUCAGUUCUUUUUGCACUUGUGGAUUCUGCAUAUCUCUCUUUGAACUUGCACUUGUUUAAUGAAGCAGCAGCAUCCUUGAACAUUUAUUUUCCUUGAUGAUAGUUUUAAAGCACAACUUCAACUGCUUAAAAACGUGGCAGGCUGUAAAAUGGUGUCAAACAAUGACAUUGUAAUUCCUAACUAUUAGAUUUGAUACUUGAGACAUAUCUCUCAUACACAGCAGAUUUAUGCAUUAAUCCUGCAUUUUAGAAGGUUUUUUAAUUGCUCAAAAUAUUUGCUUCUAGAUCUGUUUUUUCACACAUUUUAUUUACAUGGUUUAUUUUUCAUUUUAUGAACAAAUCGAUAACCAGGCGGACUCUUUUACCACACUGGAUUAGUUUUAUUUAUUCUCUUUGAACUUGAUUAAAAAGCUGUCAAACAUAAGUCUACAUUUUAUCAGUGGAAUACUUUUACAAAACAGGAUAGGGGAUAUGUAUAGCUGGAAACAUACAUUUCGGAAUGAAACAAUAUUUGAUAUAUUCUAGACAGUUACCCUUUUGUUUAUCCAUGACAACUGAAACUAACCAUCAAAUGUAUAAAUUGAUUCAAGUCUAGCCAAGUAAUCCUAAGGGCAUAUGAAAAGGCUUUUAGAAAAAGUUCUUUCUAGAUGAAUUUAAUGCAGUUCACCAAUAAAGCAUCUUUGAGAGCACAAUAUAGAAUUCUCCAAAUCAUGACAUAGCUAGGGAAAGAGCAAAGUUACACAGAGGGAUGGAGAUUCAAAAUGGAUGUCACAUUUAACAUAAGCAUUUGGCAAUUGGUGCAUUGCAGUGGCUGGCAUUUAAGAUGAGAUCCAGGAGUUAAUUUCAUCCUUAUAGUUUAUAACACAAUCUUCACAACAUUUCACUCCUUUUUGGGAGGGGCAUGAAAAUCAGUGGCAACAUUUGAUCCUUUGACUUUCCCUCAAGGAGAAAUUACUCUUCAGUGUGUUUUUAUCAUUUGCCCACACAAGAACAGGUAUAUACAUUAAAAAUCAUUUUAAGCGAUAGACUAUUAUCAGUACCAGUUUAAUUGUUCCAACCUCCCAUUUAAAUCCAUUAACCUCCAACCCCGCUUGUCUGGGUGCACCACUGCAUAUGCCUCUAAGCAAUAUUUCCUCUGAAUUUGGUCAUACUGUCUAAUCCCAGUGUAAAAUAAAGGAAUACAAAAUGACAAAGCAUAGGAGAGUGUGCUGAAACUGACUCAUGGAAAGGGUUAAUACUGAGUACAUAUAAGCAAAUGUUGACAAUAUAUUUUUACUGCAAUGUUUGGACAUUUAAAGACAAAAACGUCAUUAAGUUUUCACAAAAUGAGGCAUCUGUCACUAGAAGGAAAAAGAAAUAUUUCAGAAAGAUGUUUACAGAAAUGUAAAAAUAUUAGCUAUCAAGACAGAUGUGAACAUAUUCCAUCACUUUUCUAGUCUGUCAGUCUUUCUCAGAAUUGAAGAUCGUGGAGUAUUUGCUCAGCAUUAGCUCAACCAGCUGGUUUUGGUACACCAUGUGGACUGCCAUGGAUCCUGUUUCUUUUUCAGGUCGAAGGAGGGUGGGUCCAAACACAAUUCCUAAACUCUGAGGUGUCAUAAGGUUCAGGUUCUCCUUUGCUGCUAUCCUGUUAGAAAAAGAGAGGGAUUGGUUUCUUUUUUUAAAAAAAGCAUCUGAAGAAACAGAAUUUAAUACAAAGCAGAGAAGUACUUUGAUUUUUCAGUUGUGUUUCAGUUAUCACCCAGAAGCUUGGCUGUAUGGUAGAUAAAAGUAAUUUAAAUGAAAAUUAUAUUUUUGAAUCCAAGAUGGAGUGAGCAAUGCUAUCUUAUUUCUGCUUCAUGGGCAUAGGAGCCCUUCAUCUGCUUUGUUGUGUAGCUUGGUAUAGGUUCUUUCUCUUUACAUUUGUGAUGGAACAAGUUAUAGGUUGGCAAAAAUCCCAUUAUUCCAUUGAAGUAUCUGUCCUAUCACCUGAUAUUUGCAAGAAGCCUAUGUCUGGGAUAAGAGUGCAUUUAUGAGGAACACUAGCACAUGCUACAUUUGUUUUGUUUUUUUAGGUGCUAGCUGUUGUUAUUUUACUAUUACUUGGUUAUUAAUAUUGUCAGGCACUUAUGGGACUUUUGGGUUGAAAAAAGACAACAAAUAUUUAGAUAAAUCUUUUAAAAACAAAACAGAACACCCCAUUGCCAUACUGAAAGAACAGUUGCACAAACAGAUGUUCAUUAUAUGGUACAGUUGGCACAUGCAUGCUGGUAUCUUAUAGACACAUCACAUUCACAAUCACCUUGCUACGAGCUGAGAGAAGCUCCUUCAUUGCUGAGGUAAAAUCAACAAGAUGGUCUGUGUGCAGGGAAGAUGUGUGAUAGUUUUGUCUUCACAUUCAUAGCCACUGUGCAAAGAUUCUCUGAGCUAACAUAAGAUGUUUUGGGUCCAGCCAUAUAUAUUUUUCCUUUGAUAUGCAUGGGUUAGGGGUUGCUCAUAUAAAUGCCAAUCUUUUUAUUUUCAGCUGCAAAGCACCAGACCUGCAGUGCACCCCCCCACACAAACACACACACACACACACACACACACACACACGCACACACACAUUUACUGUCCAAUAAAAUAAACAUGAGGAAAAUAAAGAUACUUUCUACACCAACUAGAUGAAUAUCUGUAUUAGAAAUUCAAACCUCAAAGAAACAAUGGUAUUCCUUCGCUGUGGAAAUCUGGGAUACAUCUCAUCCUACAAAGCAGGGCUUCUCAACCUAUCUGAUAUGGGGGACCAACAAAUUUCCCCCCCCCCAAUUUGUCAGUAAUUGGCUCUAUAUUUUUGCCCACUGGGUGCAAUUGUUUCUUUCUUUCCUGAAAACAUGCCAAGGGCCAGCAGCCAAUGGCUCCGGGAUUGGCACCAGUCCAGGGAUCACUACUUUGGGAAGCACUGCUGUAGCGAAUUCCUCAUGCAGAAACUUUGCUGUUAGUUAAAUCUCUUCUAGUCAUUUUGCUUCUAAUACCAAAGAUACAAAGUUCUUUCCAAGUGUUGGGAAGGAACUUCCCAUGCAUAUCCAAUGAAUGUAAUCCAAACCUCAAGGCUUCUGCUAUAUUAAGACCAAUUACAUAUUCUUUUUUUGGAGACCCAUGAAAAACCCUUUUCUGUGGAAGCACCCUGUAACGUUGCCUUACUGUCCAUUAACCAAAAAUAGUUCAAAUCAGUGGAAGACCUUAGUAAUGUUCAUAUUCAGGCCUUCUCUUAGAUCAGAGAUGAGAUACCUUGUGGCCCUUAAGAUGCCAUUAAACUGCAGUUAUGCCAUAGUGAGUAUUUGGGGUGCUGCAGUCCAAUAGUCUCCAAAAGGCAAACAUUUUGUUAGGUAAAUGGCCCAUUUUAACAUUGUUCAGCCCUUUCAGUAAGUAGCAUACUUCAGCAUCAUAGCUACCCAUCACAUUCAAGCCAGCAGCAUGACAUCUAACUUUUUUUUAAAAUGUCCACUCUGAAACUAUUAACAUUUGAAUUGGUCCCAAACAGCAUUAACUGGUGAGCUGAAUGAUUGCUGAUAAAUGAUUGUUAGCACAGUUCAAGCAGGGAAUCUUCAAGAGUGGUCAUAAGAAAGCAAGACAAUUUGAUUAAAUUACAGGGGUUUAAAGACAACAUUCAAUAAUGCAAGCUAAGAGUUUCUGAACACUCUUGCAUUUAUACUAAGAGCUUACUAUCCAGUUUUAUUACUCAGCCAUACAAGAAACAAUUUCCCCAGUUUCUCUUCUGCUUCUUAUUGGUCAGAUAAUCCAUUUGGAGGAUAAUGGGCAGAACAUAAAUGGAUACUUCUGAAACAAAAUGUAAAACCCCCAGAAAAAUCUGUAUAGACACCAAAUUACAGCAAAGCAGAGAAGGCCUGGCCUAUAAUGUUCACCAAUCUUGUCUAACAGAAGAGAGUGCAGUGAAUUCAUGAGCUGCUUAUGAACUGUACUCCAAGCUAUGACAGUGACAGUCUAAUAUCUCUGUCAUGCUCCACUGAACAGCUCCAACUAGUACAGAGCUGUUUUAUUUAAAAUAUGUAAGGUCACUGGACUAGAAAGAGUUUGCUAUGGAAAUUCUUAGGACUCAUGUGUAAUCCUUAGUAAAGAAUGGAACUAAAUGUAGGUUUAAUACUUAACCAUUCUUCACUGACUUGUUUUUUCUUUUAUAACACCUUUGAGCAGGUUGGAUGGGAACAAAAUGAAGGAUGUGAGAAGUGCCUGUAACUAAAUAUUUUUUACUAAAGUGCUGUAAAGCUAUAUAGAAACGUGGUUUCUUUCUCUUCCAAACCCAGGAUGUUUUUGUUGUUGCUGUUGAAAAUAUUUUCAUUAUUAUUAUUUUUUCGCAGAAGCUACAAUGAAUGGCAAAAGUUUAAUCAUCUAUUCCAUGUCUUAGAGAAAGGUCUGUAACACAUCAAAGGGUAGAGUCAUGUAGAAAACACUGUAUUGUGAUGCCACUGUGAUCCUUGUAAUGGACAUGUGAGGAGUGCAUUACUCACCUCUGACACCUGCAAGGGACACAGGGAGAAGGAAUAAAAUAAUGGAUUUUCAUGGAUUUUUUCAUUCCAAUAUGGUCUUCAGUGUAUCGUAAAUGAAAGUGGCCCAUAUCUUUACUGAGAAUGUCUAAUUUUGCACUGAUUGCAACAGCAGCAGAAACAACAAGGCAACUGAUAAAAAUGAAGAUGCUGAAAAUGCUGUUUCUCAAAGUAUUUGUCAUUAUUUUUUCCACUGAAUGAUCCAUACAUACUAGUAUGCAUGGCAAAAAAGGAGUGAAAUUGAUUCUUCUCUCCAUAUGAUUCUUUCUUGCUGCUUUUAUGUACAGCAGAGAACAAUUGCUGAAGCAAAAUCCUGUAUUCCAGUCAUUGCGAUAGUUCUGAAGUCACAAAAGUGUGCUAUCUUGAGAAGACCUGUAUGAGUCCAAUUUACAGCAUACAGCUGUGUUCUCAACUUGAAAUUAAUGGAGGGAUGUGUGUUUGUGUAUUUAUGUUAGGGAUUGAAAGAAUAUUAAUUGUUAUUCAUUCACAGGUUGAAAAAUAGGUUCUCGAUUGUUAGGAAACUUCUUUGGGAACAAUACCAAUGAUCUUGUGUGCAGGCAAGCACACACACACAGAAACACAGACACAGAUACACCUAUACAUAUACCUAUAUAUUUUUCAGUGAAGAAAAAAUGGUGUUCAGCGCAAGAAAGAGAGUUUAUUUGCAUAGAAAAUAGGUUUUUGUGCAAAAAAACCCCCCCAAAUUACUGAAAACAGAAGUUUGGACAGAAAAUGUGUUUUUCUACAUAUUUCUACGAAUAAUUUAUUCACAACAUUUCAGGAUGUUUGAAUAUGAGGAAAAUACUGUGGAGGUAUGUUUGUUUUCUUGUACAGUGGGGAGAAAAGCAUGAUAAUUAUUUAUCCCAGCAGACAAUGAUGUAAUAGCUAAGGAUUUACAUCCCUAUAAGUGAGCAUGACCUCACUCCCUUUUUUGAUUCUGUGAGUAGCUACUAUGUGGAAAGAUCCUGCAAUGAAACACUGGACUGAAAAACAACAACAACAACAAAUCUUGAUAUCAUGUUGUUAUUAAUACAAAGCACUAUGUGGCACAAACAUUUGAGAUUUAAAUAACACUGUUCCAUGGGGAGAUAUAAUUUCAUAGUGAAAUUAUGAUGAUGGAUCCUCACCUUAGAUACCACAUUGAAGAGGCAGUUAUGAGGGUAACUCUGAUCACUUGAAACCAUGUGCUAAUAGUUGGGUUUUAUUUUUGUCACAUUGAUGUAGCAGCUUAGCAAUGGUCUUAUGGUUUCAAUAAAAUCUUUCUGUGGAAUAUAGCUGGAAAGAUAUUGCUUUGCCUCUAACAUACUAGGUAGCUUUAAAAUAUAGAUCACUUGGGAUUCUACCACAAGGAAGAGUCGUGUCCUUGUCCUUGCAACUAUUUUGCAUCUGUUAUUAUUCUGAUACACUUUUAGUCCUGAGUUCCAAUACUGAAGUUUCAGGCCAGUUAUGAAGACUUGUUAUCCAGCUAGAGCAUGGGAACACUGUGUUUUUUCAAAGCUGCCAUAAUGUUAAUGCCAGUGCAAUACAUGGUUUCGAAUAGAUAAAAUUCCAUUGGUUAAUACCCACAGUAAACUGCUAUUGGCGACAACAAACCUCAUGUAAUCUCCCUGUCCUCUACGUUCUCCAAGAACAUUUUAACCACUUGACAGAGUAGCAGCAAUCACACAGACACCCAGAUGUCAGUGAACUGCGACUCCCAGCACUCCUCACUACUGGUGAUAUUGGCUCACUGGAAGCCAUACUGUACAUCAACAAUACACGAAGGGCUGCACAAUUCCCAGUCCUGCAUUAUAUGUCUGGUUUUGAAUUUCCAGUACUUUCAGUGUGGGAACAAGACUACCUGGCAUGUAUUUUCAGUUUUAAAACAGACUUUCACUUUCCUUUCCAGUACUGACAACAUUCACAGUUGCAAACAAAAUGAAGUUAGAGAGGCUAAAGGCAUCUCAGCAUUGCAAUCCUAUACAUAUUAAAUGAGAAGUAAGUUCCAUUGAGGUCUACAGGUAUUGAUUUGUGCCUCACUGUACAAUCCUAUGCCCAUACAUUCAGCAGUCAGGUCAAUUCAAUGAGCAUUACUCCCCUGUAACUGGUUAUAGAUUUGCACUCUCAGCAUUGUGUAUUAAAACAUUGCAUGUAUGUCUGAUUUUGUUUUGUUCUCUUAAAUGUUUGAAUAAUCCUUAAGAAUUUAGGUUCUUCAUUUAGUCUCAUAUCGCGGAGUGGGGGGAGCAUAAGCACUGAGCACACAUUUAAUAUCUAUGCUGGUCUGAACCUGCCGAGACAGACUUGAGCAAAUGGAGAUCACAUACAUAAGCUGCAUCUUUCUUCCCUCCAAAAUAUAAUAAUAAUGGAAAUUUUGCAGACUGCGCUUGCUAAGUGUUCCUAGCUGUCAUACAAUAGCUUUAAUUUUUGAUUUAU